UUGUUAGCUAUAUUCUUUACAUGCAUUAAUGGAUUUACUUGUGUAUGCUUCCUUUACUCACACUAAAAAACCCUUGUAGUUUUCUUUUUAUUUUUGUCUCCCUCUGAAACGUCUCCGUGAACGUUUUUCUUUAGUAAUGCAGAAUCAGCUGUGUUAGGGGCCCCAUUCACGCUCAGUUGCAGCCUUCAGGUGAGAACGUUGUGGGCGUGGUUUAACUGUACCGUUGCGUGUAUGGCGGGAUUUUAUUCCUAAGGUUCGAACUCACAGGCGACCGGACAGCUCAAGACCUGUUCGAGCAGGCCUGAAUGUAUGUGAGGUGUCUUCGACGCGGCCUGCAAGCUUAUCCUCAGUCUAUGAUUAAAAGUUGCAGUAGAAGAACCCCUUUAGUAGGCAAGCACUAUGUCAGACAUAUGGGUGGAUAAAAGAUUUUGGAACGAAUUCAUUGAUGUAUUGGGUGGAUAAAAGAUUUUGGAACGAAUUUAUUGAUGUAUACAAGCAACAUCUAUGCAUAUGGAAUAUUAAGAGUAAAGACUAUUCAAACAGGAAUAUGAAAAAUGAAGCGUAUGAGACAUUGGUGAAGAAACUUCGAGAGAAGGAUGGGAGUGCUACCCGGGACACGGUAACCAAGAUGAUAAACAACAUGCGCAGUUCCUUCAGGAAAGAAAUGGUUCCUUCAGGAAAGAAAAGGUUGAAAAUUCAAAGAAGUCUGGGGCAGCUACAGAUGAGGUAUAUCGUCCAAGUCUGUGGUACUACGACCAGCUUUUAUUCCUUCGUGACCAAGAAACACCAAGAACAUCAUCAUCAGAUAUUGAAGAGCUGGGUAUCAGAAAGGAGACCCCUCUCUCGCCGAAGAAAGUUGUGCAACAUACAGCAAGCCUUGACCACAGAAACUGCAUUCUCUGCAUCGGGAUUUAUGGGGGAAUGGAAUAUGCGGAAUUUAGAAGCUAAUAUUCCGAAUGUACUCUCCACAACGCGGCGGGAUGUGAUCGAGAUGGACUGCCAGUCUACAUCCCAGCCUGGAGCUUCAAGACCCCUUCCAUUACCAACUGCAAAACGGAGCCGCCAACCGGGACCGUCAGUGAGCAACAAGGCUGAUGAGGUUCUGGGCAUCAUUGGGGACAAAUUACAGGGAGCACGUGAAGAAGAUGAAUAUGAUUUGUUUGGUAAAUUAAUUGCAAGUAAAUUGCGUAAAGUUGACGAUGAACAACGAAAAUUUGCUCAAAAAUUAAUAAAUGAUGUUCUAUAUGACGCAGAAUUUGAACAUCUUAGGUAUGAUAGUAGAGUCAUGAAUGCUAUAUAUAUAUAAUGUCCAAGAAUAAUCGACCAAACAUUUAUUGUUUGGAGAUUCAUUGUCCAUUGACAAAAACAAACAAUGGAGUUACAAUGCAUGCUACUAUUAUAGGGCUGUUGUUUUGUCUUGAGUGAUUAGAACAUUCCAUUUAAUACUUCUUACUUUGCCCUAGCAAAGAGUAUAUUGCAAUUCUUAUGGCUGAACAUUAUAUUAAUGUUUAAUACAAAUGUUGGCAUCAUUUAAUAAGAAUAAAAAUAGGAAGCAUAUAAUACUAAGCUUCUGCAAUUCCUAUUUUCUCAUGGGGUGCUUUGGGUAACCUAAAAACGUAAUGUAUGUGAGGAUACAAAGCUAAUAAUGAUAAGAAUUAAUAUACUAUAAUUAUAGAGUGUAUAAUUAUGCGCAGUAUUUUGUAAGAUUGUUUUCAGCUUCAUAUGUGACCUUUAUGUAUAUAAACAAUAAACAUCAUAC